AGUGAACGCUGGCGGUAGGCCUAACACAUGCAAGUCGAACGGCAGCACAGUAAGAGCUUGCUCUUACGGGUGGCGAGUGGCGGACGGGUGAGGAAUACAUCGGAAUCUACUUUUUCGUGGGGGAUAACGUAGGGAAACUUACGCUAAUACCGCAUACGACCUACGGGUGAAAGCAGGGGAUCUUCGGACCUUGCGCGAUUGAAUGAGCCGAUGUCGGAUUAGCUAGUUGGCGGGGUAAAGGCCCACCAAGGCGACGAUCCGUAGCUGGUCUGAGAGGAUGGACCGCCCCCAUGGAACCUGGACACGGUUCCGACUCCCACGGGAGGGAGGAGUGGGGAAUAUUGGACAAUGGGCGCAAGCCUGAUCCAGCCAUACCGCGUGGGUGAAGAAGGCCUUCGGGUUGUAAAGCCCUUUUGUUGGGAAAGAAAAGCAGCAGGUUAAUACCCCGCUGUUCUGACGGUACCCAAAGAAUAAGCACCGGCUAACUUCGUG
rnacentral:rRNA from 1 species